rnacentral:tRNA from 1 species
GGGGGAAGGCUCAGUGGUAGAGAACAUGCUUAGCAUGCAUGAGGUCCUGGGUUCAAUCCCCAGUUCUUGCA